rnacentral:rRNA from 1 species
GACAGAGGUGCCAAGCGUUAGGCGGAAUCACUGGGCUUAAAGCGUGUGUAGGCGGACCUAUAAGUACCUUGUGAAAUCCCACGGCUUAACCGUGGAACUGCUCGGUAUACUGUGGGUCUUGAGCCAACUAGGGGCGUACCGGAACAAGUGGUGGAGCGGUGAAAUGCGUAGAUAUCACUUGGAACGCCAAUGGUGAAAACAGGUAGCUGGGGUUGUGCUGACGCUGAGACACGAAAGCUAGGGGAGCAAACGGG